AUUGAACGCUGGCGGCAGGCCUAACACAUGCAAGUCGAACGGUAACAGGAAGAAGCUUGCUUCUUUGCUGACGAGUGGCGGACGGGUGAGUAAUGUCUGGGAAACUGCCUGAUGGAGGGGGAUAACUACUGGAAACGGUAGCUAAUACCGCAUAACGUCGCAAGACCAAAGAGGGGGACCUUCGGACCUCUUGCCAUCGGAUGUGCCCAGAUGGGAUUAGCUAGUAGGUGGGGUAACGGCUCACCUAGGCGACGAUCCCUAGCUGGUCUGAGAGGAUGACCAGCCACACUGGAACUGAGACACGGUCCAGACUCCUACGGGAGGCAGCAGUGGGGAAUAUUGCACAAUGGGCGCAAGCCUGAUGCAGCCAUGCCGCGUGUAUGAAGAAGGCCUUCGGGUUGUAAAGUACUUUCAGCGGGGAGGAAGGGAGUAAAGUUAAUACCUUUGCUCAUUGACGUUACCCGCAGAAGAAGCACCGGCUAACUCCGUG
rnacentral:rRNA from 1 species